UACGGGGGGUGCGAGCGUUGUCCGGAAUCACUGGGCGUAAAGGGCGCGUAGGUGGUUUGAUAAGGGUGUGGUGAAAGUCCGGGGCUCAACCCCGGAUCUGCCGUGCCGACUGUCAAACUCGAGGGCUGUAGAGGCAGACGGAAUUCCGGGUGUAGCGGUGGAAUGCGUAGAGAUCCGGAGGAACACCAGUGGCGAAGGCGGCUCGCUGGGCUUUACCUGACGCUGAGGCGCGAAAGCGUGGGGAGCGAACCGG
rnacentral:rRNA from 1 species